GGGAGUAGAUGUCGACUUGGAGGUUGUGCCCUUGAGGCGUGGCUUCCGGAGCUAACGCGUUAAAUCGACCGCCUGGGGAGUACGGCCGCAAGGUUAAAACUCAAAUGAAUUGACGGGGGCCCGCACAAGCGGUGGAGCAUGUGGUUUAAUUCGAUGCAACGCGAAGAACCUUACCUGGUCUUGACAUCCACAGAACUUUCCAGAGAUGGUUUGGUGCCUUCGGGAACUGUGAGACAGGUGCUGCAUGGCUGUCGUCAGCUCGUGUUGUGAAAUGUUGGGUUAAGUCCCGCAACGAGCGCAACCCUUAUCCUUUGUUGCCAGCGGUUCGGCCGGGAACUCAAAGGAGACUGCCAGUGAUAAACUGGAGGAAGGUGGGGAUGACGUCAAGUCAUCAUGGCCCUUACGACCAGGGCUACACACGUGCUACAAUGGCAUAUACAAAGAGAAGCGACCUCGCGAGAGCAAGCGGACCUCAUAAAGUGUGUCGUAGUCCGGAUUGGAGUCUGCAACUCGACUCCAUGAAGUCGGAAUCGCUAGUAAUCGUAGAUCAGAAUGCUACGGUGAAUACGUUCCCGGGCCUUGUACACACCGCCCGUCACACCAUGGGAGUGGGUUGCAAAAGAAGUAGGUAGCUUAACCUUCGGGAGGGCGCUUACCACUUUGUGAUUCAUGACUGGGGUGAAGUCGUACAAGGGGAAACCGACC
rnacentral:rRNA from 1 species